GUCGUUGCCAUGGAUCCUGGGGACGACUGGCUGGUGGAAUCCUUGCGCUUGUAAAUCGUACCAGGAUUUCUAUGCAUUCGACCUGUCAGGAGCCACUCGAGUCCUUGAAUGGAUUGAUGACAAAGGAGUCUUUGUUGCUGGCUAUGAAAGCCUGAAAAAGAAUGAAAUUCUUCAUCUGAAAUUACCUCUCAGACUUUCUGUAAAGGAAAACAAGGGCUUAUUCCCAGAAAGAGAUUUCAAAGUGCGCCAUGGAGGAUUUUCAGACAGGUCUAUCUUUGAUCUAAAGCAUGUGCCACAUACCAGGUAUGGUCAAUUUUGUGAUCCAGCCAUCCACACAGGAUGGGAUGGGAUGGCUGCAAAUGCCUGGGGGUAUUCUGCCUCCUCAUCUCCAUUCCCACCCCCUCAGCACACAGGCACAUGUGAGUGCACAAGUGUGUGCACACAGAUACACACAGAUUUAGAAUACAAAGAAACCACUGCUGUGGCUUCAUAGCCCCCCAGAGCCCUUGGACUAAUGUAAGUAACAGUUCUACCGGAGUUGCUCCAGGGAAUAGAUACGGGACAGAAAGAUGCUCUUCUAUUGCUCUUGGGUGAUAAUUGCUCAGUUGGGAGAGGCCAAGAGUCUCUGGGUCAGGUUGUGUUUGGCCCCAUACUUGUGUCCUCUGUAGGUGACCAUCAUGACACAUGGAAGCUUGGGCUCAGUCUCCCUAAAGUUGAUUGAGCCUGCUCCUUAUCUGUGAAAUGAGGGUGGUUGGCCUUGAUGAUCUUGCAGUAAGAUGUCCUGAUAUGGGAAGUGGAGUCCCAAGCUAAGUGUGCUGGAAAGGGGAAGGGACCUGUGUGGAUAAGCUCCCCAUGGUCUGGACUGAUUUUGUCUUUUCUGAAUAGAUUGCUGGUUACCAGUGGCCUUCCAGGUUGUUAUCUGCAGGUGUGGCAGGUUGCAGAGGACAGUGAUGUCAUUAAAGCUGUCAGCACCAUUGCUGUGCAUGAGAAAGAGGAGAGUCUCUGGCCUAGGGUGGCCGUCUUCUCCACAUUGGCACCCGGAGUCCUCCAUGGGGCGAGGCUCCGAAGUCUGCAGGUCGUUGAUCUGGAGUCCCGGAAGACCACGUACACCUCAGAUGUCAGUGACAGUGAGGAGCUGAGUAGCCUGCAGGUCCUAGAUGCAGACACCUUUGCCUUCUGCUGUGCUUCAGGCCGGCUGGGGCUUGUUGACACCCGGCAGAAGUGGGCACCGUUGGAGAAUCGCAGCCCUGGCCCUGGGUCUGGUGGAGAGAGAUGGUGUGCUGAAGUUGGGAGCUGGGGCCAGGGCCCUGGGCCCAGCAUUGCCAGCCUUGGCUCAGAUGGGCGUCUUUGUCUUCUUGACCCCCGGGAUCUCUGCCAUCCUGUGAGCUCAGUCCAGUGCCCAGUAUCCGUACCUAGCCCUGACCCAGAGCUGCUGCGAGUGACUUGGGCCCCAGGCCUGAAGAAUUGCUUGGCCAUCUCAGGUUUUGAUGGUACAGUCCAGGUCUAUGAUGCCACAUCUUGGGAUGGAACACGGAGCCAAGAUGGAACACGGAGCCAAGUAGAACCUCUCUUCACUCACAGAGGUCACAUCUUCCUAGAUGGAAAUGGGAUGGACCCUGCUCCUUUGGUCACCACCCACACCUGGCAUCCCUGCAGACCAAGGACUUUGUUAUCAGCAACAAAUGAUGCCUCUCUGCAUGUGUGGGACUGGGUGGACCUUUGUGCCCCCCGCUGACACCAGCAUCUUUCCAUCUAGGCCUCUAGAAAGGGGAGGAGCUGCUGUAGUAGCAAGGGUGCUCAUGUAGGACUCAAGUGACUACCAGUCCCUGUUACCAGCUGUGUGGCCUUGGGCAAGUCUGCCAGCGUCACUUAGCCUCAGUUUCCUUAUCUGUAAAAUGAGGAUAGUAAGAACUACCUCGUAGUGAUAUUGCGAAGGUUAGAAGAAACGCAUGGCAUAAUUACUUGGUAGCUAUUGUUAGAUCUGGGAGUGUGAAAUGGUAGCGUUUUGUCCCUGUCUUCACACUAUCAUAGGGAGAAUCAAAAGAGCUAACAAAUAUAAA
rnacentral:lncRNA from 10 species